UGCUCAAAUAGGGUAUAAAUUCUAUUUUUCUUUGUUCUAGGGCUUCUGAAAAAAUGUGAUUGUUGGUUAGCCGAACAAGUAUUUCUCUAGCAGUGCAGCAGACGCUUUCCUUCUGGUGACAUGUGAGAGUGGGUGGUGAGUAUUUCAGAUCAGAACACUGAGUUCUUGUGAACAAAGAAUGUAUAAUGGCUAGAUUUACUUUUUUUCCCUUUUUCCCCUUUGGAUUGGCCAUCAUACAGCCUUUUAGAAUUAAAUGCCAGCCCCUCUUCAAAAAAGAAAACAGAAAGCAAUACUAGAUACCUUGGCUACAGAUAAUCUCUGUAAAAGAUCAUUCCUUUAUGUUUUAUUUUCUCUGGAGAAAAAUUCCAAAAUGUUUAAUCAGAUGAUCAUGAAAUUAUAAUUUCCCCUUUCUGAAUAUAAGAUAAAAUUCAAUUAUAAUUGGUUAUCAUUAAAUACACUUAUUUCUUCUCUUAGAUUCUACUUAGAGGAAAAAACAAAUAAGAGUAUGGUAAAGGACUUUUCUAAAGUCAGAAACAGUUGCACAUUUUCAAAGAAGACUAGAUUUAAUAUAUAAGUAAAAAAAGGAAUAAUUGGUUCAAUUUUUUUGUUUGUAAAGAGUAAUAUGAAUAGCAAAAUAAGAAUUCAUUUUGAGACCACAUGAUUUUUAAGGAAACAAAGCAUAUUCUUGAACAUAGGUCUUCAUAUUUCAGUGAUAUUACAUUAGUAUUUGAAACCAAGUUUGUAGAAUUCUGAGUUAUCUUCUUGCCAGAAAGGCUGAAUAGUCUGAUUUUAUCCUUGCUUUUACUACAUGUUAGGUAUGUAAACAUGCAUAAGUGACUCACAUUUCCUGUGUACCAUUUUCCCCUUCUGAAAAAUAGAAAAAAAUAAGCUUAAAUUAUAGAGUUAAUUUGAGGAUUAAAUGAUAAUACGAAGUAGCUUUUCAGCUAUUCCUGAUAAUUUUAUUGCUUCUCUAAACUGAGAAGAUAAGUGCUAAAGGAUGGACAUUGUUUUUAAAAAAAGAAAAGCAGAAAGAUGUUAGAAGAAGUGCAUAUUCAGUAUUUGCUAAAAGGUGUUCACUACCCAGCUCUGCGUCCUGACCUCCUCACAUACAUCUAGGUUUCUGUAGAGAAAACUAAGGAUCCAGUGGAUUGAGAGAGAAGGAUGACUUGGACUUGAAAAAGAUCAUCAGUCUUAGGUUUUUUAGCUUCCUUUGUUUUCUGCAAAGGUGGAGGCUUUUCCUUAUUUCAAGACUAGCUCAGGGAAUUCCAAGAGAUUUGACGAGGUCAGAAGGGGUGGAGGGAUAUAAGGACUCAAGGCUGCCGCUCCUGCCAGAUGCUUUCUGAGCCCAACAUUUUUGGCUUGUCUAGAUUGCUGUCAAACAGAAGUAUGCUGAGAGGGGUUUUAUGAGCAUAUGGCAAGUUUGAUCAUGGCAAAAACACACGUGCCUCUUUUGUCUGGAAAAGUUUCAAGGUGCUAGACUGGUUUGGCUGGAUUCACCUGUGGGCAGAGCAGAGCGACCUGAUGCAGGUGGGAGGCUAUGUUCCAUUUCUGUGAUCAAGGGAAGAAACAAAAUCUGUGUCUUCAGUGGUUAACUGGAAAGGCCAAUAUCUCUGCAAAGAAAUGGCAGUGUUGGAGGUCUCCAUGACACAGGAAGCUUGCAUCCAAAAAGCCCCAAUGUACCCCAUGUAAAAACGAAAAUAAUGAUUUGAGUAGAUUUGCCAUGCAGAAGACAACAGCGGUGGAUUACAAACACACCAGUUCAGCUGUACCUUCCCCACCCCCACUGUCUCAUCUCCUGCCCCAUUCUCCAGCUGGGGCAGCCAGAGGCAGCAUGGUCAAGGGAGAAAAGCAGUGACAGGAAAUGAUAGUGCACCAUUUGGCUGAUGCCCUGCAACAUUCUCAGGCAAGACUCAAGCCAAAGAAGGUGAUGUGCUUACAUUGGAUAAUUGGUCAUAUUUUUGACACUAAUCUUAGCUAGGCUUUUUUCAAUAUCUAAAAAUGGGUUUUCUAAUACCCAAAGUAACCAAGAAUGGUUUUGCAUCUGAAUAUACUAUCCAGGGGCAAGAAGGCAAGAUCUGACAGAAUAUUUAAAGUGAAAGAUGAGAAAGGAAAAAGUUUUGUAGACACUGCACACCCCUGAGUUCAGCUUUGUAGAAAUAUGAGUACUGUCUCAUCAAUAAUAUUUUCAAAAUAUUACUCAAAUCUGCCACUAUAACCUUAUUCCUAUUGAUAUCACUUUAGUUCAAUCCACCAUCCGUCUCACCUAAAUAAUGACACCAGCUUCCUGUUUGUGUUUCCACUCCUAUGGUUUCUCUUCCCUUGUUUAUUCUCUGCAAAAGAGGAAACAUGGUUUUCUCAGAACAUAAGGUAGCUUAUGUUUAGCUUCCUUGCUUAAACAAUUCAAUGACUUUGUAUUGCUUUAUUACAAAAUCUAAACUCCCUGCCUUGUUCUAGAAAAUCUGUCUUCUAUUUCUCCAUCUUUUUUGGGGGCCACUUUCUCCUAUGUUAACUCUGCUGUAAACUCAAAUCUCUUGUGGUCAUCUUCUGGCUCACCAUGGCUCUACUGUUCCCAGUGCCUAUGGGACCUACCUCUUCUUUCCAACCCUUCUGAGAGCCAGCGAACUAACUACAUCUCUUCAAAGAACUCCUUUACCUUCCUGCCUAAACAAAGUGUCCUAUGCAUCUCUCCAUAUCUACUAAUUAUUUUCUCCUUUACAGCAUUGAUUUAUAAUUCACUACAACACUGACUAAAAUAGCCCUCGUACAUUUAAUGUUUUAGUGCUCUUUUCUUUUUUCAAAACACUGUAUCACCACAUGUCAAACAAAGUCUUCACUUGGUGAGUGCUCAAAUAUUCAUGAAAGGAAUUAUUAUGUUCUUAUUGUUAGUACUAAUAUAUUAUUUUCAACUCAAAAUAUAGGAAAAAUGUACAGAAUAAAAAGAAAAGUAGGAGAAAGAAAAUAAUAGAAUCAGACAUUAUUAAACAGAAAUGUUACAUCUUGUGGGGAGGGGACUAUAGAGAUAAUAAACAAUGCCCAAAGUUGAUUCUUUAGAAGUGUAAAAAUACAGGAUGAUCUACCAAGGCAAACUAGGGGAAAAGAAAAGCACAAAGAAGGAAAAUUAACUUUAGAAAAUGGAACAAAUAGAUUAGUAGAAGACAUCUAAAACUUUUAGGACAAUGAAAACAUUAAUGGCAUUAUAUUUGAAAAGGAGUAAUAUGGAUAUUUUAGGAAACAUAUCCUCAACUAAUAUAAAUGAAAUUGUAGCUGUUCAUAUAAAAUAUGAAUCAAUGGCCAAAAAUUCUUCCUACAAAAAGUUUUAGGGAAAAAACAAAUGAUCGCCAAUAGUUUUGGAGAUGUUUUAAGAAGACUUUGAGGAAACAAACAAUCCUCAUCUUACAAAAGCUGCUCAGAGAAUAGAAAAAGAGGAAGGAUUCCCCAGCACAUUUUAUUAGACCCGUAAAACCUCAAUUAUAAAACUGGACAAGAAUAGUACAAGAAAAUAAAAUUGUAGAGCAAACUCAUUUAAGAACAUUGAUGCAGAAAGCAUGAAUACACUCUUACCAAAUGGAAACCUGCAACGUAUAUAUAUAAAAUAUAUCACAUUUACAUUUGUUUCGUUCCAGCAAUAGAAAAGAACUUUGUAUCAUAAAGUGUCACAGUGUGUUUGCAUACUUUAACAAAUAGAAAGUUAAUCUAUUAUUGUAUUGAAACAUAUUAACAAAUAAUAAAUUAAUCUCAAUAAAAUAAAUAAUUUAUUAAUAAUAAAUUAAUCAAAUAUUGCAUUGAAAUAUUUGAUAAAAAUUCAGCACCUGUUCGUGAAUAAAAAUAAACACAGAAACAAAGCAUUUCUCAAAUCAUUAGCUAAAUGUUCCUUCACCUGAUGAAAGGGUAUCUGUUAAAACCUGUAUCAAACAAUACCUUUAUUGAUGUAACUUUAAAAAUAUUAUAAAGAUCUGUAGUAGACCUCAACCAAACUCAAAGUGAUCUAGGCUAGUACUUUGUGAUGUCUCUGAGAAUAACAUAGACGUGGUCAGAGAGUACACAAAGAUCAUUCACAAGGCAGGCUGCUAGGCUACAUAACAUUUAUUGGAUAUGCAAUGUUUCUAGGAUAGUCUUAAUACCUCUAGGAUAGCCUCUCCAUAAAUGUACUGUAGUGCAUACUGUGAGAGAAGGAACAUGUGUGCAGUUCAAAAAUUAAUUGGAACGGGAAUGUGUAAGGAAAUAACUAAACGUCUUUUGUUGCAUUCAAUUGAGCCCAAGAAAAAUUAGUCUAAUUCCUGAAGGCUAUUGCUCCCCCAGCAUGUGUGCUUGUUCUAUUUCAUCUCUACAGGCAUGCCUCAUUUUAUAGCACUUCGCAGAUACUGCCUGUUUUACAAGUUGAAGGUCUGUGGAAAUUCUGCAUGAAGCUAGUCUAUCAGCAUCAGUUUUCUACUAGCAUUUGCUCACUUCGCAUCAUUGUGUCACAUUUUGGUAAUUCUCGUAAUAUUUCAAACGUUUUCAUUAUUGUUAUAUUUGUUAUGGUGAUCUGUGAUCAGUGAUUAGAACUCACUAAAAGUUUGGAUGAUGGUUAGCGUUUUUUAGCAAUAAAGUAUUUUUUAAUAAAGGGGUGCACAUUUUUAGACAUAACACUAUUGCACAUAUAAUAGACUACAGUAUAGUGUAAACAUAACUUUCAUUUGCACUGAGAAACCAAAAAAUUUCUUUGACUUGCGUUAUUGGAGUGGUCUGGAAAUGAACCCGCAGUAUCUCUGAGGUAUUGCCUCUGUGUCAGAAAGCAAUUGUUCAGGUUCAAUAAAUUAUAUUUGAUAUUACUUUUUCAUUUCAAUACAGCUGAAGGAUUUACUUCAUUCCAUUACAGGAAGUUCCACCAAUUACUAUUUCAAUAGUCUUCCAAAUUAUUAUUUAAAAAAGUAUACACUCAUGCUCAUGACUUCCUAGGUAUUUGCAAAUUUAUAUUUGCCCUAAUGUAAAAUUUCAUGGAAUUUCCAUGGCAGUUCAAACUUUCUGAUUUAGAAAUAUUCCAAUAGCUGCAAGAUAUUCUUGGCAUAAACAGAUCUCAUAUGGGAGGAACAUGGUAAAAUGAUGGACUAAGUAUACUUACUAGGACAUAACACUUUUGCAAACAAAUCAAAAUUCCUUUUACAUCACUUAACAUAUUAUAAUUAUGUUACAGUGCAUUUAAUCACAUAGCACAUAAUUGACUUCAUAUUAAAAAUAUUAAAAGGGGGACAGCAUCUUAUUUAUAUAAGAAUACUUACUAAAAAUUUAGAAGUAAUAGAAAAGUCACCAUUUAAUGAUCAUUAUGGUAAUAACUGACUCAGGCAAAAUCCAUAAGUUAAUGAGAAAUCACUAGACUGUAAGUGCUGGGGUAUUCAAAAAGUCUGAAAUUAUCAUGUUACAGAUUAAUAUUAACAAAACGAACAAAAGAUUAAAUUUCAUAAUGGAAAUAUUUGGCACAUACUAUCUUAAUCAAUCAAACUUAAUAUUACCAAUUUGGGACUUUAGAGAUUACUAAUGUUAAGUAUUUAUGUUUUUCUCCAAGGUUUUAUUGAGAUACACCUGACAAAUAAUAUUGUAUUAAUCCAAUGUGUACAAACAUAGUAAUCUGAUAUAUGUAUAUAAUGUGAAAUAAUUACCAUAAUAGGUUGAAUUAACCUCAUAUAGUUAUUUUUCUUCUUGUUAUGAGAAGUUUUAAGAUCUAAUCUUUUAACAACUUUGAAAUAUUCAAUACAAUAUUAACUGCAGUCACCAUGUGUACAUUACUUUCCCAGAAUUUAUUUAUCUUAUAACUGCAAGUUUUUAUCUCUUGAACACCUUCACCAAUUUCCCUCAACCCCCACCCAAUAUACCUGUCAGAUAUUUGUAUGUCUUCUUUGUAAAAAUAUCAGUAGAGUUUCUCUGCCUAUUAGCUAUUUAUUCCAUUUAGGUAUUAUAUUUUUACUGAGGUAAACAAUGAUGACUAUUUCUCCUUGUAUGAUUGAUUUUCAUGGAUUUAUACCAAAAUGAAUGCAAGGCAUAAUAAUUUCAAAAGAUUUUUUUUGAGCCAAUGGAAUUUUUUUCUUCAACAAUAUGCAUAGGUUCUUAAAAAGAAUGUCUGACAAAUAUUUUUUAUGUAAUUAUUUUGUUUAUCUCCCAGUAAAGAAAGAUUGCAAAUAUAAUAUUAUGUACUACUACUAAUGUUUUAGACUUUGGUGGGGGAAAGUAAUUAUUCUUAGAUCAACUAUGUAACAUAUAGAUAGGCACUGAGAAUAUAUCUGGUUUCCUAAUGAAAAGUCUCUGAACUUUUCACACCAAAAGACACUCUGUGGGCUUGAAUUCUCAGCCUGGUGGAGUUAAUGUGGCUCUAAACUAACAUUACUAUAAUUAAAUUUUAAUUAACUGAUUAAAAAAAUUUUAAACUAACAUCCAGAAAACACAGUGUCAGAAAACCCCCCUUUAUAUUUUUAAAAACUUACAAUGUAGUAGCUUGGUUAAGACAAAAUCCCCAACUUUACACACAAGAUCAGAAUUAAUAAAAAUGAUGAUUUCUACCCUCCUGCUCCACUGACUCAUAGUAUCUGCUUUUAUUACUCUAUCUAAAUCUUUGUAUGGGAAAAUGGGUGCUUAAUCUCAGAUUUUGGUUUGAUCCAGAAUGACAUAAGUGGUUAACUUGAAAAUACCAACUUUUUGGUAACCAAUUGGUGGGUUAAAAAAUAAAAUUCAGGACACCUAUCCAGAGAGACAUAGCAUGAAAACAUUAAUAAACAAAGAAGUGGGGCACUGGGUGGCUCAGUUGGUUGAGCGUCUGACUUCAGCUCAGGUCAUGAUCUUACAGUUUGUGAGUUUGAGCCCUGUGUCAGGCUCUGUGCUGACAGCUCAGAGCCUGGAGCCUGCUUCAGAUUCUGUGUCUCCCUCCCUCUCUGCCCCUCCCCAACUCAUGCUCUAUCUCUCUUUCUCUCAAAAAUAAAUAAACAUUAAAAAAUUUUUUAAAAAAUAAACAAAGAAGUGAUCUUUGUCAUUUUUCUGAUAAUAAAUUUCCAUCAUACCCCCAUAGCAGGAACUUUGGACAGAUAGGAAAAUAUUUCUGUCAUUGUGAUUUUAUAUGGCAGUGCAUCAGAGACUGAGUAUUUGUGCUCCAAUAUUUGUGUAUAUGGCUAUUGGAUUAAUUGUUAUCUCAUCUGGAAAAAUGUCAGGAAGCACUUGAGCUAUCAUGCUGACAGAGAAAUCUUUCAAGAGAUGGCACUUACAAUGCCCUCCUAAAUUGUUCCAUGUAUCUUAAAGUACCAAGUCCAGCCUAGUGCUAUGAGAUCUCAUAAGAUGUUAUUCUUGAGUGUAUAUUUCAGAUUUGCUGAAAUGUGCUAAUGAGGGCAAGGACCUAGAGCCUGAGGUAAAAUAAAGCUAUGUGGUAAGGGUUACAUUUUUUCUUAAAGAAUCAAGAUUAAUGUCUGUAUGUUUGAAAAAUAAUGCACUCAGAUGGGAAGGAGGGGAUUCUUGUGAGCACAGUGGACUGAACUAAUGAGAAUAGGUCCUCGUAUUAAAACAUAUAAAUAUUCAGGGAGCCUGGGUACCUCAGUAGAUUAAGCAUCUAACUCUUGGUUUUGGCGCAGGUCAUGGUCUCGUGAUUCAUGAGUUCAAGCCCCAUGUCUGGCUCUGCACUGUCAACGCAAAAUCUGCUUGGGAUUCUCUCUCUCUCUCUUUCUCUGCCACUCCCUCCCUCUCUCUUUUUCUCUCUCUUAAAAUAAAUAAGUAAACAUUUUUUUUAAAAUUCUCGUUAAUGUUUUAAAAAUAUGUACUUAAUCAAAAGAAAGAAAGAAACUAAUUCCAAGUUACAAGGAGAAAGAAGAUGAAGAAGAACCGUGAGUGGGAACUAGAGCCAAACAUUUCAGUGGGUAUCAGAAGGUGAUAUGUGCAUAAGUUCCAGUCAGAAAACUGGCCAUGCCAUAGACCUUCACAGUCAGCACAUCUCACAGGAAGAUGAAACUGAGCAUCUUGCAUUAGAUCAGCAUUGAGGAAAUGUUGGCUUAUCUUUGAUGUGAGACUAUAAAUGUUUAUCUCAGUGGCUCAGCUAUGAAGCAUGGAAACAGGAUGCUUAUUAAUCACAAAUGAAUUUACAAUUAUAGAUAAAAAUAUUAAUUUUGUUCUUUAAAUUUUUUGAAGUUUAUUUUUGAGACAGAGAGAGAGCAGGGGAGGGGCAGAGAGAGGGAGAGAGAGAAUCUAAAGCAGGCUCUGAACUGCCACCACAGAGCCUGACAUGGGGUUUGAACACACAGACUGUGAGAUCAUGGCCUGAGCUGAAAUCAAGAGUUGGUUGCUUAAUCGACUGAGCUACCCAGGCACCCCAACAUCAAAAAUUAAUUUUAAAAAGUGAUCAGAAUGAAGACAGAUACCAUAUGUUUUCACUCUUAUGUGGAUUCUGAGAAACUUAACAGAAGACCAUGGGGGAGGGGAAGGGGGGAAAACGUUAGAGAGGGAGGGAGGCAAACCAUAAGAGACUCUUAAAAACUGAGAAUAAACUGAGGGUUAAUGGGGGGUGGGGGGAGGGGAAAGUGGGUGAUGGGCAUUGAGGAGGGCACCUGUUGGGAUGAGCACUGGGUGUUGUAUGGAAACCAAUUUGACAAUAAAUUUCAUAUUAAAAAAAAAAGAAUGUAGACAAAUCAUAUGGAUUGCAAGGUAUAAAUAAAAUAUUUUAUAGGAAGACUUUUCCAUUCCAGGGCUCUCAGAUACCACAGAAAACAAUGAUAAACAAUAAAUAAUUUACGAAGAACUAGAGAUAUAAUAAAGAAUAUGAACGAUGACAUUUAAAAUAAGCAUGUUUAAAAUGUUUAAAGUGAGGGGUGCCUGGGUGAGUUGGUUGAGCAUCCCACUCUUGAUUUCAGCUCAGGUCAUGAUUCCAGGGUUGUGGGAUGUAGCCCUGUGUUGGGCUCCAUGCUGGGCAUGGAGCCUGCUUAGGAUUCUCUCUCUCUCUCUCUCUCUCUCUCUCUCUCUCCUUCUCCCUCUGUGCCUCUUCCCCACUCACUCUCUCCAUAAAAAAAAUAAAUCAAUAGAUAAAUAAAAUAAAAUGUUUAAAAUGAAAAGUGGGCUACAAACUGUGACAAAAAAUUACAUAAAAAGAGCACAAAUAAUAAAAACUCUGUAAAAUGAAAAAAAUCUAUAAACAAAAAUGUAGUCAUUGAAUUAAACAAAAAUAGCUAACAAACAGACAAAAUCAAACCAAUGAUGACUCAUCACCUAAGAGAGAAUAUAUACAUUGGACAUAAGAUAAGGAAUCCAAGGAAAGGAACACAAGUCUUGAAACUGGCGUUUGACAGCAUCAGCAAUCGUAUUUAAUGUUUUAAUCUACUUGUAUGCAUUUUUAUGAUCUAUGAAUGUAAAACUUCUAAUUUUUUUUCUCUUUUUUCUCUUAUAAUUUAAUUUUCCCAAAUUAUGCAACCACUGCAAAAUUUGGACAUAUGACAAACUUACACAUUGCUGUUGUGCACAUUAGACAGGAAAGUGAACUGACCACCUCACCGUCUCCACUAGCAUCUUCUCAGAGAUACUUGCAUCACUUUGAGAAGACUCGGAAAGCAUUUGCUCUGAAAGGACUUGCUCAACUUUGGAUAGAAACAGGGAAGAGGAGCAUGAGUUGCAAAAUAGUGGGUACCUGGAAUGAUGUCAGACAAAUCCUAGUAUUCCACAGUACAUCUUUUGGGAAGAUGACGUUUGAAGAGGAGAGUAAGGACAAGAACUUUGGUUAAUGUAUGAGUCCUAUAAGAAGAUAUAGCCUUUCUAUGGGCAUUUAAUUUGGGCAUUUGACAUAAACAUGGAAUAAUAUGUUGAUGUUGACAAAAAGAAAUAGUAACACAAAGAUUUUAUGCAAAACGAAGAAUGAGAUACCAUGAGGAACGGUACAGAAUCAGGAUGAGAAAGAGUAGACAGUGUUCUUUAAUUGAUACUGGAGGAAAAGUGGAAGACUGAAUUGAAAAAAAAUGGGGAUCUUAUGUAGAGAUAUCUUGCAGACAAUCUGAAUUAGGGAGUGGAGAAUUUAAAAGAAAUCUAGGAAGUAAAGAUAAAUAUUAAAGAUUGACCAUAGAACAUAGAAUAAGAAAAGUAGACAACCAAGGAGAUCUUGAGCUUGCAAAAAAGAGGGCAAAAACUGUGAAAAAGAGGAAACUUAAAGGAGUUGAAUCUAUGAUGAACUAAAAGAGAACAGAUGCUCAAGAUAUGAGGGUUAUUGUCCAAUGCAUUACUGUUGUAAGAAAGAGGAAUUAAAGAGUAGGAAAUUAGUUCGGGGAAAGGAGAUAUGGGCAAAAGGAAAUUAUUGAUUUUAAUCAUUAAGUGACCAACCAUUAUUGAUCUUGGUAGAGUACUUUUUGCAGUGAUAAUGGCAUUUCAGUUUUUAGAGUUGAAUUUCUAUGGCAUUUGUUACCCCAAAAGACACUCCCCCAGUCUUCCUGGGCACAUGGUUGCACGUGGCUGCUGGCGAGACUAGAAAUUAUAGUUCUUUCAUUUAUGUUCUUAUAUUUGGGGACUUCGAUUGUUUAGACAAUAUAUAAGCUUUAGUCAAAAUAAAACAGACUUUAAACUUCCAAGUAAGCUGCUGUGUAACAGAAACCUAAAGUACAUGGCAUUGGAUUGGUGGUUAGGCCACCUGGACCCAUAAGGAUUGACUCGUUAUGCUAUCAUAACUGGUAAACCCAUUGUCUUUGAUGACUUACAAAGCAGAAUACGUGGCUAUUGAACCUCUUUGAUCGCCAACCUCUAGGGGAGUGGUUGUAAAAAGCUACAAUGUGAGUGUAUAUUGCCUGAUUCUUGCUGCUUUAUGCAAAUUAUUACAAUAAAAAAUCACCUCUAGCAAGAUUUUACUUACUUUCAAAACAAGAAGAAAGGAAAAGGCCAGAAAUACGAGGUUUUGCAGAGUUGAAAAAUCUCAUUUUGUAUUCCUCAAGACCAGGAAAAUAAAAAUGUUAUUCAUAACAUUUAUCAAGGCAUCUCUUUAUGAUUUUUCAGCCAAGAAAGGUUACCUAAGCUUGGGGUGAUUCUAAAAGAAUGAGUGCUGCCUUUUGCUCCAGCCUAUUGUAUCAAGAGCUCUUCAAGUUACCUUCAUUUCUCAAAGUUAGGGAGAAAUGGUCACACAAAAUAAAAUAUUACAUCAGGCGUUGUUUCUCAAAUACUGCGCUGAGGGAAAGUAAAUAGAUGAGAAGUCCAAUAACUUUUGAGAAAGUAAUUACAAAGAAAUUAUGGCCUAUAAAAAUCUGAUUGUUUUUCUCCAGAACAGUUUUCAGCCUCCUAGAAUUACAAGGCUAGAAAUGGUUUAUAAAAGUGCAUCUCUAAGGAGAAUAUCAACUUUCUUCAGAUCUGGCCACAGAAGUUUAUGGACGCAAUGAAGAAACUCCCAGAAAUCAGAGUCAAGUGCCAAGGAAAACUGAAGAAAAGAUGGUUUUUCUCACAGAUCAGAAUGACUCUCACCAAUGAACUUAUGCAACAUUCAGCAAAACCAGCCUUUAUCAUUUCUGCCCAGAAUUUCAGCAUCAUCAUGGACUGAUGGACAUGUUUCUCAUCCUAUGUUCUACAUGGACUCUUUUUUUCAGUAGCAUUUGUUUGUUCCUGUUUCACCUAAUACGUUAUUCUCCUUAUCAACUUUGGACGCAGGCAAAGGGAGCUCUGCCUUGGGCUCCCCUCAUUGGCAGGCCUGACUCUUUCAUUAUUCAGCUUUGCCCCCAUCAUCAAGGUGAAGAUUCUACAGGCCAAGUGGCAGUGAUGCCCAGCUGGAGCCCACAUUCCACUUCUGUGCCGUGUUCCAGACACCUGGGACUUCAGGACACCCUGUCUAAACAGUUCCACAUUGACCUCCAGGUUUUUCACAGGCUCUUCAUUCACAAUAUCUCUUGAGAGUUGCCUGCUCCACUGUUGGCCUUAGCUUAUGCCCAAGAGCUCGCUAAUGGGCAGCUAUUCAGAGGAGCUUUGAGGGUACUUUGGACUUGUAGGCUGAGGUGUCACACAAUUGACCAUUAAGGAAAGGUGUGAAAAGAAAGAAGGGAAAAAAGGUUACGAGGUGGGGCAUUUAUAAUGUGUUGCCACAUUCAUAGAUGGAAAAAAGAGUCUGAGAAUUCUGAAUUUCUCAAAGGGGUAGAUGAAAGGUAUUUAGUUAACAGUCUAUUUGCUUGAAUUAUAAUUUUUUAAUAUUUAGGUACAUGUUAGGUAAGCCUCCAUUUGUAAUCACGGUUCUGUCCCCAGAAAUAUUGGGGCAAAUGUGUGUGUGGACAGUGAGGAUGAUUAUGGAGGGCAGAUCAUUUUUCUCUUAGUUUGUAAGUUGCCAGGUAAUAGAAUCCACAACUGGACAUAAUGGAUAGGAUUGUCCUUUUGGCACAAAUUACGGGCUUUGAGCUGAGUGUGGCCGUAGGAUAAGACCUUGGGCUUUGUCCUUCAGCUAGAGAGUUAGUUCAAUGUGUUGGAAGAAGUGUGCUUUAGUUCAAUUUGUUGGAAGAUAUGUGGUGGCCACAGGACAGACUCUGGCCAUCUGCUAGCUGCCCCCCCCCCACCUCCAAUCUAUUUCCUUCUUUUUGGGCACAUGGCUGCACAGCUGUGAACUACCUUUCUCAUCCCCAGACUUACAUCUAUAUUUGCUUCUGUACUCAAGUUCUCAUCAAUAAAAUAUGAACUGAAAUGAGAGGUAUUUAAAAGGUCUUACCCUGUUCCUUCUCUCUUUUUUCCUGCCUAGGGACUGAUAUGUUGAUGUGGCAGAAGUACAUCGUGAACCACGCUGAGGAAGGCAACAUCUGUGAGGAUGGUGGAGAAUUACACGGGAAGGAGACAAAUCCAUAGAAGAAGAUCACAGAGCAAAGCCUCACUUGCAUAGGCUCUUUGGACUUUUAAAUUGUUCCAUGUGCACGAGUCAAACUUAAGUCAUUGUCUUUCAUUUGCUUGUUUGUUUUCCAGCAGUUUAGUCUUUAUCCUAAUAAAACUGCUUAGGAAAAUAUGAGCUGAUUACUAUUCUUUUAAAGGGAAUGGCUAAACACAAUUGUAAUGGUAAAAAAAAAAAUCUGCACAUUUUUCUUUACUUAGAUUGGAUAAGAGACAGAUGGAUUGUAUGGAAAUAAGUAACUUAUAACAUGGUCUUUUUGUUAUGUAAUUUCUCCCAUGCUUAAGAAGUAUUAUAUUAAUCACAGUUCUAAGAAGAGUCAGGUUUACAUUGUCAUAUGAAGUCUUUUCAUGGAUAUCUCCUCCAACUGUCAGAGAAGUAUUAUAUACAUGUAAUAGUGUCAUAGAGCAUAGAGUAUAGAUAAAAUAUAUAGUUUAUAGAGUAAAUUGAUUAUACGGUAAAGAGUAUAUAAAGUACACAGCAUGUAGGGUAGAUAGAGUAAUACUAUACAUUACUCUCCAUGUGUUCACAAA
rnacentral:lncRNA from 1 species